rnacentral:rRNA from 1 species
GACGAACCGUGCGAACGUUAUUCGGAAUCACUGGGCUUAAAGCGCGUGUAGGCGGCCCGGCACGUCCGUCGCUGAAAUCCCCCGGCUCAACCGGGGAAGUGGCGUGGAUACGACCGGGCUGGAGGGGGGUAGGGGGAGCCGGAACUUCCGGUGGAGCGGUGAAAUGCGUUGAGAUCGGAAGGAACGCCCGUGGCGAAAGCGGGCUCCUGGACCCCACCUGACGCCGAGACGCGAAAGCCAGGGGAGCGAACGGG